rnacentral:rRNA from 1 species
AAACCAGCACCUCAAGUGGUCAGGAGGAUUAUUGGGCCUAAAGCAUCCGUAGCCUGUUCUAUAAGUUUCCGGUUAAAUCCACAUGCUCAACAUUUGGGCUGCCGGAAAAACUGUAGAUCUAGGGAGUGGGAGAGGUAGACGGUACUCGGUAGGAAGGGGUAAAAUCCUUUGAUCUAUUGAUGACCACCAGUGGCGAAGGCGGUCUACCAGAACACGUUCGACGGUGAGGGAUGAAAGCUGGGGGAGCAAACCGGAUUAGAUACCCGAGUAGUCC